AGCGAACGCUGGCGGCAGGCCUAACACAUGCAAGUCGAACGAAGUCUUCGGACUUAGUGGCGGACGGGUGAGUAACACGUGGGAACGUACCUUUUGGUUCGGAACAACUCAGGGAAACUUGAGCUAAUACCGGAUGAGCCCUUAGGGGGAAAGAUUUAUCGCCGAAAGAGCGGCCCGCGUUAGAUUAGCUAGUUGGUGAGGUAAAGGCUCACCAAGGCUACGAUCUAUAGCUGGUCUGAGAGGAUGAUCAGCCACACUGGGACUGAGACACGGCCCAGACUCCUACGGGAGGCAGCAGUGGGGAAUCUUGCGCAAUGGGCGAAAGCCGGACGCAGCCAUGCCGCGUGAAUGAUGAAGGUCUUAGGAUUGUAAAACUCUUUUACCAGGGACGAUAAUGACGGUACCUGGAGAAAAAGCCCCGGCUAACUUCGUGCCAGCCGCCGCCGUAACAC
rnacentral:rRNA from 1 species